rnacentral:rRNA from 1 species
UACGUAGGGUGCAAGCGUUGUCCGGAAUUAUUGGGCGUAAAAGGCUCGUAGGCGGUUUGUCGCGUCGGGAGUGAAAACUCAGGGCUUAACCCUGAGCCUGCUUCCGAUACGGGCAGACUAGAGGUAUGCAGGGGAGAACGGAAUUCCUGGUGUAGCGGUGAAAUGCGCAGAUAUCAGGAGGAACACCGGUGGCGAAGGCGGUUCUCUGGGCAUUACCUGACGCUGAGGAGCGAAAGUGUGGGGAGCGAACAGG